ACUUGAGGAAGGUAGGGGAGAAUGGAAUUCCUGGUGGAGCGGUGGAAUGCGCAGAUAUCAGGAGGAACACCAGUGGCGAAGGCGGUUCUCUGGGCCUUUCCUGACGCUGAGGAGCGAAAGCGUGGGGAGCGAACAGGCUUAGAUACCCUGGUAGUCCACGCUGUAAACGGUGGGUACUAGGUGUGGGGUCCUUCCAGGGUUCCGUGCCGUAGCUAACGCUUUAAGUACCCCGCCUGGGGAGUACGGCCGCAAGGCUAAAACUCAAAGGAAUUGACGGGGCCCCGCACAAGCGGCGGAGCAUGCGGAUUAAUUCGAUGCAACGCGUAGAACCUUACCUGGGUUUGACAUGAUCGGGAGUGCUCAGAGAUGGGUGUGCCUCUUUUGGGGUCGGUUCACAGGUGGUGCAUGGCUGUCGUCAGCUCGUGUCGUGAGAUGUUGGGUUAAGUCCCGCAACGAGCGCAACCCUUGUUCACUGUUGCCAGCACGUUAUGGUGGGGACUCAGUGGAGACCGCCGGGGUCAACUCGGAGGAAGGUGGGGAUGACGUCAAGUCAUCAUGCCCCUUAUGUCCAGGGCUUCACGCAUGCUACAAUGGCUGGUACAGAGAGUGGCGAGCCUGUGAGGGUGAGCGAAUCUCGGAAAGCCGGUCUCAGUUCGGAUUGGGGUCUGCAACUCGACCUCAUGAAGUCGGAGUCGCUAGUAAUCGCAGAUCAGCACGCUGCGGGAAUACGUUCCCGGGGCUUG
rnacentral:rRNA from 1 species